rnacentral:rRNA from 1 species
CCUACGGGAGGCAGCAGUGGGGAAUAUUGCACAAUGGGGGGAACCCUGAUGCAGCGACGCCGCGUGAGUGAAGAAGUAUUUCGGUAUGUAAAGCUCUAUCAGCAGGGAAGAAAAUGACGGUACCUGACUAAGAAGCCCCGGCUAACUACGUGCCAGCAGCCGCGGUAAUACGUAGGGGGCAAGCGUUAUCCGGAUUUACUGGGUGUUAAGGGAGCGCAGACGGCUGUGCAAGUCUGGAGUGAAAGGCGGGGGCCCAACCCCCGGACUGCUCUGGAAACUGUAAAGCUUGAGUGCAGGAGAGGUAAGCGGAAUUCGUAGUGUAGCGGUGAAAUGCGUAGAUAUUAGGAGGAACACCAGUGGCGAAGGCGGCUUACUGGACUGCAACUGACGUUGAGGCUCGAAAGCGUGGGGAGCAAACAGGAUUAGAUACCCCAGUAGUC